rnacentral:rRNA from 1 species
AUUGAACGCUGGCGGCAGGCCUAACACAUGCAAGUCGAGCGAGUGGCGGACGGGUGAGUAAUGUCUGGGGAACUGCCUGAUGGAGGGGGAUAACUACUGGAAACGGUGGCUAAUACCGCAUACUAUCGGAUGUGCCCAUAUGGGAUUAGCUAGUAGGUGGGGUAACGGCUCACCUAGGCGACGAUACCUAGCUGGUCUGAGAGGAUGACCAGCCACACUGGAACGUAGACACGGGCCAGACUCCUACGUGAGGCAGCAGUGGGGAAUAUUGCACAAGGGGCGCAAGCCUGAUGCAGCCAUGCCGCGUGUAUGAAGAAGGCCUUCGGGUUGUAAAGUACUUUCAGCGGGGAGGCGUUACCCGCAGAAGAAGCACCGGCUAACUCCGUGCCAGCAGCCGCGGUAAUUC